rnacentral:misc_RNA from 1 species
GAUGAAGAACGCAGCAAAAUGCGAUAAGUAAUGUGAAUUGCAGAAUUCAGUGAAUCAUCGAAUCUUUGAACGCACAUUGCGCCCGCCAGUAUUCUGGCGGGCAUGCCUGUUCGUGCGUCAUUUCAACCCUCAAGCCCUCGGGUUUGGUGUUGGGGAUCGGCGAGCCUUUCUGGCAAGCCGGCCCCGAAAUCUAGUGGCGGUCUCGCUGCAGCCUCCAUUGCGUAGUAGUAAAACCCUCGCAACUGGAACGCGGCGCGGCCAAGCCGUUAAACCCCCAACUUCUGAAUGUUGACCUCGGAUCAGGUAGGAAUACCCGCUGAACUUAAGCAUAUCAAUAAGCGGAGGA